CCUACGGGUCGCAGCAGUGAGGAAUAUUGCACAAUGGGGGAAACCCUGAUGCAGCGACGCCGCGUGAGUGAAGAAGUAAUUCGUUAUGUAAAGCUCUAUCAGCAGGGAAGAAAAUGACGGUACCUGAGUAAGAAGCCCCGGCUAACUACGUGCCAGCAGCCGCGGUAAGACGUAGGGGGCAAGCGUUAUCCGGAUUUACUGGGUGUAAAGGGAGCGUAGACGGCAGUGCAAGUCUGGAGUGAAAGGCGGGGGCUCAACCCCCGGACUGCUCUGGAAACUGUACGGCUGGAGUGCAGGAGAGGUAAGUGGAAUUCCUAGUGUAGCGGUGAAAUGCGUAGAUAUUAGGAGGAACACCAGUGGCGAAGGCGGCUUACUGGACUGUAACUGACGUUGAGGCUCGAAAGCGUGGGGAGCAAACAGGAUUAGAUACCCCGGUAGUC
rnacentral:rRNA from 1 species